GACGAACGCUGGCGGCGUGCUUAACACAUGCAAGUCGAACGGAAAGGCCCUGCUUUUGGGGGGUGCUCGAGUGGCGAACGGGUGAGUAACACGUGAGUAACCUGUCCUUGACUUUGGGAUAACUUCAGGAAACUGGGGCUAAUACCGGAUAGGAGCUCCUGCUGCAUGGUGGGGGUUGGAAAGUUUCGGCGGUUGGGGAUGGACUCGCGGCUUAUCAGCUUGUUGGUUGGGUAGUGGCUUACCAAGGCUUUGACGGGUAGCCGGCCUGAGAGGGUGACCGGCCACAUUGGGACUGAGAUACGGCCCAGCCUCCUACGGGAGGCAGCAGUGGGGAAUAUUGCAGAAUGGGCUGAAGCCUGAUGCAGCAACGCCGCGUGCGGGAUGACGGCCUUCGGGUUGUAAACCACUUUCGCCUGUGACGAAGCGUGAGUGACGGUAAUGGGUAAAGAAGCACCGGCUAACUACGUG
rnacentral:rRNA from 1 species